GAGGAUGAAAACCUCCGGGGGCGGGAGGUUCGACCCGAGCGAAGCGAGAGAACGUUGCGCGAGCAACGGCCCGCAGGGCGAGCCAUCCUC
rnacentral:sRNA from 2 species